ACCAUUGUUAGAUGCGAUGGGGGGACGGAUCGCGGAAGGUUGUCCGGGUGUUGGAAGUCCCGGUCGCUGCAUUGGAGAAGGCACUUAGGCAAAUCCGGGUGCGGAAUUCAAGGGUGUGGCGCGAGCUCCUUAGGGAGCGAAGCAAUUGGAAGUGGUUCCAAGAAAAGCCUCUAAGCUUCAGUCUAACGAUGACCGUACCGCAAACCGACACAGGUGGGCGAGAUGAGUAUUCUAAGGCGCUUGAGAGAACUCGGGAGAAGGAACUCGGCAAAUUGGUACCGUAACUUCGGGAUAAGGUACGCCCUUGUAGCUUGACUGGCUUGCGCCAGAAGGGUGAAGGGGUUGCAAUAAACUGGUGGCUGCGACUGUUUAAUAAAAACACAGCACUCUGCAAACACGAAAGUGGACGUAUAGGGUGUGACGCCUGCCCGGUGCCGGAAGAUUAAAUGAUGGGGUGCAAGCUCUUGAUUGAAGUCCCGGUAAACGGCGGCCGUAACUAUAACGGUCCUAAGGUAGCGAAAUUCCUUGUCGGGUAAGUUCCGACCUGCACGAAUGGCGUAACGAUGGCCACACUGUCUCCUCCCGAGACUCAGCGAAGUUGAAGUGUUUGUGAUGAUGCAAUCUACCCGCGGCUAGACGGAAAGACCCCAUGAACCUUUACUGUAGCUUUGCAUUGGACUUUGAACCGAUCUGUGUAGGAUAGGUGGGAGGCUAUGAAACCGGAACGCUAGUUUCGGUGGAGCCGUCCUUGAAAUACCACCCUGGUUUGUUUGAGGUUCUAACCUUGGCCCGUGAUCCGGGUCGGGGACAGUGCAUGGUAGGCAGUUUGACUGGGGCGGUCUCCUCCCAAAGCGUAACGGAGGAGUACGAAGGUACGCUAGGUACGGUCGGAAAUCGUGCUGAUAGUGCAAUGGCAUAAGCGUGCUUAACUGCGAGACCGACAAGUCGAGCAGGUGCGAAAGCAGGUCAUAGUGAUCCGGUGGUUCUGGAUGGAAGGGCCAUCGCUCAACGGAUAAAAGGUACUCUGGGGAUAACAGGCUGAUACCGCCCAAGAGUUCAUAUCGACGGCGGUGUUUGGCACCUCGAUGUCGGCUCAUCUCAUCCUGGGGCUGUAGCCGGUCCCAAGGGUAUGGCUGUUCGCCAUUUAAAGAGGUACGUGAGCUGGGUUUAAAACGUCGUGAGACAGUUUGGUCCCUAU
rnacentral:rRNA from 1 species